GGGGAGAUAGCGCUCUGUCCAAGGUGGGGAACAUUCGUGGCUUUCCCUUUUGUGACUGAACAGGCAUCAAAACAGACAGCUUUCCUUUUCACGAACACUGUAAAGUGUGGCUGACACAAGGAUACAAUCCUGCCUGCUGACUUCCAUCUACCAUUCUUGGUCCAAGUUAAAAGAGAACUCCUCCUUUUAGGGUCAUGUAACUAACUCUUCCAGACCCAGGAGGUCUCAGCUCCUCCAUUAUAAGCCCCAAUAUGACUGACCCUACCUGGCCUCCUUUCGAAUUUAUACUUCAAUGUAAUACUUUUAAAUAUGUGGUGAUUGGGUAAAAACAUUUCCCCAGAAAGAAUGUUACUUUUAUAAACGUGUGGAAUUUUAAAAAGCAAUUAAAUAGCUACUCCUUGUAUUUUUCAAAUACUCCCUAAGACAAGAUCCUUGUUGAAGCUGAACCAACAGGCAUUUGUUUAUGCUACUUGCGGGGCCCAGUAAAGCCACAUUGAUUAAAUAAAUAAUUGCAGGUACUCGAAUACUUUUUAAGCUGAGUUUUUCUUUCUAAAUAGAAGUUUAUAUUAACCUCUCCAUCAUAGGUAGACAGUGUAUGGAUUUAAUUUGUCUGAGGUUAAGUCUUCAAACUUCCAUGUUUUUGUUUCUACUUCCCUCAAUGGUUACCCCUUUUAGGAAUUUACCUUCUCUGCUCCAUCUUUGGCUCUUAGAGAAACAAGCAUGGGAAGAAAGGAUCCAUUUUACAGUUCCCUUGGAAUCUAUGUCCCACUGCUAAAUUAAGGAAAAAAUCAUAAGCAAGAGAGACUUCCGCCUGUGGCUGAAGUGGCAUCAGUGUGUGGGCCUACCAGUGCAUCUGAUGUUCUGCUAAACACCACCUGCACCAGCUGCAAACUGCUAUGGACUUGCAGGUGGUAAGAUCCCUCUUUGAGACUUAGAGCAGAAGUUAUUUAUGAUUCAGUAUCUUAAGUGAUCAGACAGUUGAGACUUAUCAUGCCCCUCCUCCCUCUCUUGCUCUAGCCCCAGAGGUACACUAGAUAUUUAUUUCAUCAUUGCCAAUGCAGGUAAUUAACUGUUACAGAUUCACUCUUAUUUGCAAGCAUGUCAGCUUUCUGAAGUUAAUAUCCAUGCUGCCUGAAACUGGAAUGUUAAGUUAAUAAAAAAUUAAGUACCAGUUAAACAUAAUUGCCUAAUUCUCCUUUGAGAUGCUUGCACUUGUUGCUAACUCUUCCUCUGAGCCUGCAGCAAUACUUUAACAGGGAUCUCAGAGAACUUUAAAUUAGAGCCUUGACUACUCCAGAAAGGCAGUCCAAAUUAGAGCCUAUGCAAUUUCUUUUUGAAAACUGUUAAAGUAGUAAAGUCCUUACUAUGGCCUCAUCCUAAGAACUUGAAACUAUGUGAAAAUCUCCCAGUCCCUUACCUACAUAUUGAUCACAUUAUUUUAAAUGGAGAGAGAGGGGGAAAAAAAAAAAAAACACCCCAUAGUUUUACCUCAUCUGGCCUGGACUAUGCCACUGGCAUGAAUUAAAAAUCUCUGUAGCUGCCUUGUUCCCUUCUAAAGGUGUUCUUAUGGACCACAAAAGUUAUCCUGCAAUUUUUUUUUUUUUUUUUUUUUACUUCUAUCAAUUAUAUUAAAACCCUCAAGAGUCUGGAUAUCACGCUCAUGUUUUAGGUAGUGAGAAAGACAUCAGGAGUACUGAAAACACCCAAAACUUUGGAUUAAUGACAUAUGAAACUCCUAAGGAUCCCUAAAACUUAUAAACCAUUUACAAACACCUAACUGGGAGUUAUGUCUCAGCCAUGAAACUAUGUAAAGCGAAACGAUCAUGCUAAGUUUACAGCUAUACCAAAUUCCUAGAUAUAACAAGACAUAUAGUUAGAAAGUUUGUAGAGGGAUGCCUGGGUGGCUCAGCGGUUUAGUGCCUGCCUUCCACCCAGGGCAUGAUCCUGGAGCCCUAGGAUCAAGUCCCACAUCAGGCUCCCUCUAUGGAGCCUGCUUCUCCCUCUACCUGUGUCUCUGCCUCUCUCUCUCUCUCUCUAUCUCUCAUGAAUAAAUAAAUAAAAUCUUAAAAAAGUUUGUAGAGGCCAAAAGGUAGAGAAUUCUGAUGAAUGAAAUUUCUGCAAUGAAUUUAAUUAGGCUGUAGUCAUAGGAUUGCCAAGGUUUUUUGAGAGGGAAGGGAGCAUAAGUAACAUUUUUAAGUUUAUUUUUCUGCCAUAAGUGACAGCUUUGUAGAACAGCAUUUUUUUUUAAACUCCAAAAUAAAUCCUAUAGCAAAUAUUUUUCUAUUUAUCUACAUGGAAUGGCCAGUUUGGCAAGAAAUGAUACAGAUUCUACUUGCUGCACACCUAUUUCUCACUGAAGUUUAUCCAAAUCCUAUUCUGGUUCAUUGAAACUUUGUGUUUAUAUUGGCCAGGUUGAAGACAGCUCAAUCUGUGGCCUUCUGAAGUUCCCUGUUUCACACACUUGAACUUUCUAACAAUAGAUACAUGUCUUAAGCCGCCAAACAUUGACUUUUUAGAAUUGGAACCAGAACUAUCAUUGCAAUGCUGGCUGCUGCCACCAUAUCAUCCCUGAGCACUAGAUGGCUGUUAAAAUAUAAAAAUGGAAAAGAAUACAAGCUGAAAAGCAGCUGUACAUGCAUUCUUGCUUUACCAAUUCCUGUACAGAGGAAGACCAUUUCACAUCCAAUGGCUGCAUUUUUUUGAGUUAUAUUAGAUAAAUUCUUUAUCAACCAUCUUGCAUCUGAGUGAGCUCUUGCAUGUGACCAAGACAAGAAAUCAUUCUGGCCCAUAACAGCAACUGCUAUUGAAUAACUAGAUCCUUGACUAGUAGUGCUUGAUUUUUCCUUAGUCAAGGUGGCUACAAAUCACUUAUCCACUGAUGAGCAGAAUGAAGCAAGCCACCAACAAAAAUUCCUCCACGUUCACACCAAUGACCUGCUAUUAGUUAGCUCUUGCUGUGCCAUUCAUUCUUGCACUUUCUGCAAAUCAAAUCCAUGUGGGAAGUGUUCUACUUGUAGAACUCACAGAAUUCACUGAGUGCUCAUGUCAAGGACUGCCAAGUAAAUGAGGGCCCCUAAUAAUCUGCUUUCCUUUGAAUGUAAUGCAAAGAUGACACAUGUUCAUUUUUCUAUGCCUAAUCAGUUUCUAGACAUAUUAUCAAGACUUAUUUACUUUGCAUGAGAUUUAAGUUUCCUAUUAUUUGAAAAUGUGCUCCUUUUAAACCACCUGAAUUAGAAAAACUUGCUGGAAUGUACUGUCAGUUAUUAAAGCACAUGUGACUAAGUUUGCAUUUGUCAGUAUUGUUCUACUGUUUGUACUGAAAGUCUCAUUUUAAAGUUGCCCCUUAACAUUGUACUAUACCUUGUAAUUUUUUAGAUUCUUCACUUGUAUGCUUUAAAUGUUUCCAGAUGCCUUUAGUUUUUAGCCGCUGUAAAAUAGCUACUUUGUGUUAUUUGAUAUAGGAUUGUUUUUUAAAAAACUCCAUUUAUUUAUACAGAGACAUUUAUAAUAUUUUACAUUCUUAUAUUCUGAAUAAAUAUUUCUAAUUCCAUGUACUUUAACUGUGUUCAUUAAAUGGUAAUAAGGCUGUCCUUCUGCAAUCCAGUUGAACAUAUAAAUGUCAAACCUGUGCUACUUCACAUUAAAUUGAAAGUCCUAGUCAAAGCUGGGGACUACAAGACACUGUAUUAGGUCAAAACAGUCAAAGAACCUUGUUUAUCGCCAAUUUCUAUUUGGCUGCCUUUGAAAAUUUGGUAUGAAUGGGAAGUUAUUUAUUAAAGUCAACCUGACGACAAAAAGAUGGCAAGGAGCGUUGCAACAUGUCUAUUAGAAGACAAUUUUCCUGAAAUGUGGUCAGCUCUCAGUAUGAAAGCAAAGUGUAAUACCUUGGUCCCCUCUUAAAAUUUUCUUUUUUUAAGAUUUUAUUUAUUUAUUCAUGAGAAUACACAGAGAGGAGAGAGAGAGAGGCAGAGACACAGGCAGAGGGAGAAGCAGACUCCAUGCAGGGAGCCUGAUGUGGGACUCAAUCCCAGGUCUCCAGGAUCACGCCCUGGGCUGUAGGCGGCGCUAAACUGCUACGCCACAGGGGCUGCCCCCCUCUUAAAAUUUUAAAUAAAAUGUAUUAUAUAGUGGAGGUCUCUAGUGGAAAAGACUUUUUCCCACGAUCCAAGGACCUUUAAGCAUUCUAUCUGGAAAACCUGGUUCAAGAAAAAAUAUAAGAAUUCUUGGAUUGUAUGUAUCUAAUCUAUUUUGGUUUAAAGCAAUAACCAAACUAUUAAGGGUUUGAGGUGGAGAAUACAUACCAGUUCUUUAUUUUCACUUUCACACAUUUUUUUUCUUUUAAGAUUUUAUUUAUUCAGAAGAGAGAGAGAGAGAGAGAGAGGCAGAGACACAGGCAGAGGAAGAGGCAGGCUCCAUGCAGGGAGCCCCACGUGGGACUCAAUCCCGGGUCUCCAGGAUCACUCCCUGGGCCCAAGGCAGGCACCAAACCGCUGAGCCAUCCAGGGAUCCCUCGCACACUCUUUUAAUAGUUCUGCCCAUCAUAUAAGUAUGCCUUUAUCUCAUACCUACCAUUUUUUAUUGGUCCAAAGAGAGACAAAAUAUGAAUAAGUUGGAACUUAUGAUAAGUAACAGUAGCAGAAAUCGGGUUAUGGUAGUAAUUAAAACUGCCCAAGCAGCAAAAUUUAUUGAUAUUGCACUACAGUCUAAAUUUAACACGAUAGUAUUUUUACAGAAAGCCAAUAUUUGAACAAUCAACUGUAAAAAAUGUUUUAAAAUACAAAAGGAAACCUUCAUUCAUUUAAAUUGUAUUCUGUAAGAUAAAAGGUUUUUAAUUUCUAAACUGGUGUUAUU
rnacentral:lncRNA from 1 species